CCGUUGAGCCAAACUCCCAGUAAGCAGACUUCCAUCUCUGUGAAGGGGUAGGAAAAAGACAGCUCCUCUAACACACCCCUUUUAAAUGUCAUAUAUAAAAUUGCUGGCAGCACACUGCCAAAAGUUGACAGUGAUCCCUCAUCAACAAUGGUAUCUAGACGUGGAUACUUUGGUGGUUUCGUUACCGACGAAAAAGGAUUCAAGGACACGGAAGAGCACGGACGCCGUGUAAUUAAAUUUUAUUUUAUAUUUCGACAGUCACCUUGUUAACAACAGAAUACACGUGCACGACAAACCAGAUGUCAGAUAAAUCACAGAUCAAUUGUACUCAACCCCUGAGAAGUCUGAAGCCAUGACUGCUUCUGUUUCUUAACGAAGAGGAGCAAUAAAAAGACACUUGCGAUCAAACAGCUCAGGAUGAGCCACAGAUGGACCAGAAUCAGAAGCAUGAAAGAGUCAGCUAAGUCAAUAAGAAAAGACGCACCGCCCCACGAGCCUACCUCCUACAGUUUUCCGUAGUACCCUCCUUGCGCCCUUCCUCUGUCCACUACCCAUGAUGUCAUUGAUCCCAUCAUCCAUCACGGCUCCUACCCAGCAUUCUUCCAGUUCCGGCCCCUCCUCCAUAAAUACUCCUCCGACGCCAUCUUUGAACUGUCAUACGAUACUGAAUGUGUUUCA